rnacentral:rRNA from 1 species
AGUGUAGAUUCAGAGUUUGAUCCUGGCUCAGGAUGAACGCUGGCGGCGUGCCUAAUACAUGCAAGUCGAGCGAACAGAUAAGGAGCUUGCUCCUUUGACGUUAGCGGCGGACGGGUGAGUAACACGUGGGUAACCUACCUAUAAGACUGGAAUAACUCCGGGAAACCGGGGCUAAUGCCGGAUAACAUGUUGAACCGCAUGGUUCUACAGUGAAAGGCGGCUUUGCUGUCACUUAUAGAUGGACCCGCGCCGUAUUAGCUAGUUGGUGAGGUAACGGCUCACCAAGGCAACGAUACGUAGCCGACCUGAGAGGGUGAUCGGCCACACUGGAACUGAGACACGGUCCAG